rnacentral:misc_RNA from 1 species
AAGCUAGAGCCCCGCCGAUUGUGUCAAGAAUCAGACCCUCCAAAGGGUGGUUGUACAAAGCUCCAAAUGCAUACGGAACAAUUAGCCGGUGAUGUUGAGCAUGGAUAUGUUUGUACAAGAACUUGUUUUGGUGCAUGUACCGAUGCAUAAAAUAUUGCCAAGUAUCUAACAUCAACAUGCCAACAAAUAACUGUCUGCCAAGAACAAAGAUCGAAGCGUGUUGAUCCCCACCAGAUUCACCAUCAUCUCCCGUGACCGCGAAAAGAACCGU